UGUUUGUUUGUUUGUUUGUUUGUUUGUUUGUUUGUUUGUUUGUUUGUUUAUGUGUGAGAGCUAAUAAGAAAACACUGAUAGAUCCAGCGAAAGAAGGAGACGGAGGAGGAUGCGGAGCUCAAAGCCGAGAGACCAGUCCGCCCGACACAGUAGAUCAAUGGCCGCGCGCGCGCGAUGCACGUGACAUGUGUCGUCUCCGCGCUACGGAUGGCAGUAAUCAAUGUCUUAACUCCCUCCCUCCUGCCUGUCUUCUUCCUUUUCCUCCCUCUAGCGAGCAUCUCUCUCCGGUCUAUCCCUCCACAUUUCUCCUCCCUUCCUCGCUCAGUGACCCGCCACCCUCCUACCACCCAAACCCUCCAACCUCACUUGUCCUCCUCUUAUUUUCGCAGUCCUCUUUCUGUCUCCUGGUCCUCGGGCAUCGCCGGCUGGCAUGCUCUUCCUCUCACAUUCCACGAUGGACUUCUGUCGCUGAUGCUGCACGGACGUCAGAGGGCAUGCACACUGACGCUCAUCUCCUCGCGACUCGCCGUGAUCUUCGCUGGUCAGAUUCGCCAUCUUACCUUCCUCAGAGCCAGCGUACGCUGAUUGGUUCGUAAGGGUCACGUGACACGGUGCGUGCAUUCAGCGGUGCUUGCAACAGGGAUUCAGUAGGAGCAGCGACAUGCAUCUCCAUAUACGUCCAUAACAUGAGUAAUCAUGUACUUGAGGUCAUCUUCCAGUCAAGUGCAUUCAACCGGAACGCUUUCCCUCUCUUCGUUCUCUCGACUCUGGACAUCACCAAAAGUGAUCUCAGACAUUUUCACGCUCUUCUUGUUUGUGAAGAGCAAGGAGGACACCCCGAAGCUGCUCCCAGCCACGCAACAAAGGCGUUAAGAACGACAUCCUUAUGGGAUUUGUCAACACGAGGAGAAACAAGUGAAAGUGAAUUGUAAGGGGAAAAACUAAGGGAGAUAAUUUACAAGAAUUUUUUUGGUGGUUGAGAAAAUUUAUUGAAGUCUAGAGGUUCUCUCGAGAUUUCUCGUACCAGCGUUUUACGCGUGUAGAAUCCUUCACCCAUUCAUCAAGUAUUUUGGGAUACACGGAGGUUAGUGUUAUUCCCUUGUGACUACUUCUUCCAGCAAGAUUUUUUUUUUUAUCCCAAUGCUAGUUUGCCACUGGUUU